ACGCCGAAGGUUAGAAUCCUUCCUACUGCA
rnacentral:tRNA from 1 species